CGCCGCCGCCGCAGCAGGCCACGCCUGCGCCCACGUCCGCGCCCAUGGCGAGCUCGUCGUCGCCAUUCGACCGCACAACAACAUCAAUGAUGAUAAGACGCAAUCAGAGAUUAAGCCUUAAGAUCCCACCCAGAAACUAGAAGAGUCGGUCUACUUGGUAAGGGGUCGACGAUUCCAUAGCUUCUCUGUGGAUUGAACAUCUGGAAAAGAGAUGCUAUUUGGCAUAGAAUCUAGCACCCUCUUUUCUUCCUUCAAAGCAAGCUUCACGGUCAACUGGCUGGCUGCUAUUGAUUGAUAUCAGAGCCUCUCCUCUGUCUCACUCAAGUGAAUUGACAGGGGCGAGACCGAGGAGGCGCAGAGCAAGUGACAUGAGGAUUCCGCUGCCGCGCCGGGGCAGCUGGCCUCCGCCGCCGAAGCCAUCGGCAUGCCAACUCCGCAGCGGCCGCCCGCCUCGCCAUGCGGCGGCCGGGUCGUCCUCGUCCCGGCGCUGCAUCUCUUCUCCAGCACUGCGCACAGCGCGGAGGAGUGUUGAUGAGGGUGCUGGUGGGCGAGACGAAGCCGCAGCGCCAUGGCCGACGGGUCUACGGGGUCGACGGGCUUCGGCCGUACCCGGCCUCCGUACGAUCUUCGCUGAUGACUAAUGACUAAACUAUCUCUGAUUAAAAUAAAACACAUGCUGUUAAAAUCAACGAUCCAGAUAUUUUUGAUGGGGAGGAACCACUGAUUCCUCUCAAGCACCGUAACAAUCCUCUACGUAUAAUGAUAUUCUAGUUCAGUUUAUCAACUUUUUAGAUCGACUCUAACCCAAAAGUUAUCUAACUUGCAUCGUACCGUUUUUCUUUCUCCUCUCCCCUCCUCCCUUCCGCAGCCUGCCCCUCCCCGUCUCCCCCGACUCCCCAUCCCCUCUUCACACGCAGCUCCGCUAGGUUCCGUCCGGCCAGUGCAGCUGUAGGCGGCGGUGGAUCUGGGCAGCUUCCUGGCUCACAGCAGCACCCAUAGGUCACUAAAAGACAUUCAGCUAACACCAUAACCUUCAAGGCAUGGAUGAAAAAUUAAUACUAUCACAAAGAUGUUCUUUUUCCAGAAAGCAAUCAUGUUCAGCAAGAUGAAAGAAGAAAUCAUACUUUGAGCUGCGAUAGUCGAUGUAUGGAACAUUAAUAUAUAGUAACUCUUCUUAGAAUCUUUCAAAAAAGAGUAACUCUUCUUCACAACUUUCUUGCUGAGUGCAAUUUUUGCAGUCUACAAUGCACUCCUCUCGCACUCUUUGCAUUGUAUCCCUACAACGGGCUUUAAUGAAACAGAAUGCAAUUGUUAAAUUGAACUACAAUUCCUCCGCAAAAAGGGGGGAAAAACUACAGUUCCUGUACAUCAGC